rnacentral:rRNA from 1 species
GACGAACGCUGGCGGCGUGCUUAACACAUGCAAGUCGAACGGAAAGGCCCUGCUUUUGUGGGGUGCUCGAGUGGCGAACGGGUGAGUAACACGUGGGUAACCUGCCCUUGACUUUGGGAUAACUUCAGGAAACUGGGGCUAAUACCGGAUAGGAGCUCCUGCUGCAUGGUGGGGGUUGGAAAGUUUCGGCGGUUGGGGAUGGACUCGCGGCUUAUCAGCUUGUUGGUGGGGUAGUGGCUUACCAAGGCUUUGACGGGUAGCCGGCCUGAGAGGGUGACCGGCCACAUUGGGACUGAGAUACGGCCCAGACUCCUACGGGAGGCAGCAGUGGGGAAUAUUGCACAAUGGGCGGAAGCCUGAUGCAGCAACGCCGCGUGCGGGAUGACGGCCUUCGGGUUGUAAACCGCUUUCGCCUGUGACGAAGCGUGAGUGACUGUAAUGGGUAAAGAAGCACCGGCUAACUACGUG